rnacentral:rRNA from 1 species
UAGGGAAUCUUCGGCAAUGGACGAAAGUCUGACCGAGCAACGCCGCGUGAGUGAAGAAGGUUUUCGGAUCGUAAAACUCUGUUGUUUGAGAAGAACAAGGACGUUAGUAACUGAACGUCCCCUGACGGUAUCUAACCAGAAAGCCACGGCUAACUACGUGCCAGCAGCCGCGGUAAUACGUAGGUGGCAAGCGUUGUCCGGAUUUAUUGGGCGUAAAGCGAGCGCAGGCGGUUUCUUAAGUCUGAUGUGAAAGCCCCCGGCUCAACCGGGGAGGGUCAUUGGAAACUGGGAGACUUGAGUGCAGAAGAGGAGAGUGGAAUUCCAUGUGUAGCGGUGAAAUGCGUAGAUAUAUGGAGGAACACCAGUGGCGAAGGCGGCUCUCUGGUCUGUAACUGGCGCUGAGGCUCGAAAGCGUGGGGAGCAAACAGG